UACGUAGGGUGCAAACGUUGUUCGGAAUUAUUGGGCGUAAAGCGCGUGUAGGUUGCCAAGUAAGUUGAAUGUGAAAGCCCUCGGCUUAACCGAGGAAGUGCAUUCAAAACUGCUCGGCUAGAGGAUGGUAGAGGAAGGUGGAAUUCCUAGUGUAGAGGUGAAAUUCGUAGAUAUUAGGAGGAAUACCUGUGGCGAAGGCGGCCUUCUGGGCCAUUCCUGACACUGAGACGCGAAAGCGUGGGUAGCAAAC
rnacentral:rRNA from 1 species